CCACCGGUUAGUGAUAGUCGUGCAGUCGAGCGGAUCGAUGGGAGCUUGCUCCCUGAGAUCAGCGGCGGACGGGUGAGUAACACGUGGGUAACCUGCCUGUAAGACUGGGAUAACUCCGGGAAACCGGGGCUAAUACCGGAUAACACCUACCCCCGCAUGGGGGAAGGUUGAAAGGUGGCUUCGGCUAUCACUUACAGAUGGACCCGCGGCGCAUUAGCUAGUUGGUGAGGUAAUGGCUCACCAAGGCGACGAUGCGUAGCCGACCUGAGAGGGUGAUCGGCCACACUGGGACUGAGACACGGCCCAGACUCCUACGGGAGGCAGCAGUAGGGAAUCGGCCGCAAUAGGACAGAAAUGGUCCGCACGGAGCAACCACCGCAUGAGCGACAGAAGCGUUUUCGGAUUCGUAAACACUCCUGCUUGCUCAGGGAAGAACAAGUGCCGUUCCGAAUAGGGCGGGCUGCCUUGACCGGUACCUGAAACAAGAAAUGCCACUGGCUAACUACCGUGGCCAGCAGCCGCGGUAAUACGUAGGUGGCAAGCGUCGUCCAGGAAAUAAUUGGGCGUAAAGCGCGCGGCAGGUGGUUUCUUAAGUCUGAUGUGAAAGCCCACGGCUCAACCCGUGGAGCGGUCAUUGGAAACUGGGGAACUUGAGUGCAGAAGAGGAAAGUGGAAUUCCAAGUGUAGCGGUGAAAUGCGUAGAUAUUUGGAGGAACACCAGUGGCGAAGGCGACUUUCUGGUCUGUAACUGACACUGAGGCGCGAAAGCGUGGGGAGCAAACAGGAUUAGAUACCCUGGUAGUCCACGCCGUAAACGAUGAGUGCUAAGUGUUAGAGGGUUUCCGCCCUUUUAGUGCUGCAGCUAACGCAUUAAGCACUCCGCCUGGGGAGUACGGGUCGCAAGACUGAAACUCAAAGGAAUUUGACGGGGGCCCCGCCACAAGCGGUGGAGCAUGUGAUUUAAUUCGAAGCAACGCGAAGAACCUUACCAGGUCGUGACAUCCUCUGACAACCCUAGAAGAAUAGGGCUGUCCCCUUCGGGGGACAGAGUGACAGGUUGGUGCCAUGGAUGGUCGUCAGCCUCCGUGUCAGAUGAGAAUGUUGGGUUAAGUUCCCGCCAACGAGCGCAACCCUUGGAAUCUUAGCUGCCAAGACAUUCCAGUUGGGCACUCUAAGAUGACUGCCGGUGACAAACCGGAGGAAGGUGGGGAUGACGUCAAAUCAUCAUGCCCCUUAUGACCUGGGCUACACACGUGCUACAAUGGACGGUACAAAGGGCUGCAAGACCGCGAGGUUUAGCCAAUCCCAUAAAACCGUUCUCAGUUCGGAUUGUAGGCUGCAACUCGCCUACAUGAAGCUGGAAUCGCUAGUAAUCGCGGAUCAGCAUGCCGCGGUGAAUACGUUCCCGGGCCUUGUACACACCGCCCGUCACACCACGAGAGUUUGUAUACUCCCGAAGUCGGUGAGGUAACCUCGCGACACAGUACACCGCAAAAAGAACGACG
rnacentral:rRNA from 1 species